AAAAUAUAAUUAUACAAUAAAAUACUACCACGGGUAAAAUCCUAGAAUUGACGGGCUUGAUUCGAUAUUAAUAUGGGAUGGUGUACUACGGGUGAAAUUUUAGAAUUAACUGGUUUGGGUUGAUAAUAAUUUACGAUAGAACUAGAAGUAAAAUCCUAGAAUGACAAUCAAGUUAUUAUUAUACAAUUAAAUACUACCACGGGUGAAAUCCUAGAAUUGACGGGUUUGAUUCGAUAUUAAUAUGGGAUGGUGUACUACGGGUGAAAUUCGAGAAACAACAAUCAAAAUACAAUUAUACAAUAUUAAGCAUUUAACAAAAUAAACAAAUACAACUUAAAACUUUAAAAUUUGAGUUAUAAAAUUUCGUCUCGCGGUGAAUUAUACAUUUAAAUCAAACAAUAGCAUAAAUUUGUUAAAUCAUUUUCAAUUAUUUUUUAUUUAAUGAAAAUAUAGGCCCGCGGUAUACCGCGGAUUAAAAUCUAGUUGUUUAUAUAUCCUUAUACUAAAUAAACCAAAAAAAUCAGAUAAAAGUCUUACAACAUCUGC
rnacentral:sRNA from 1 species